rnacentral:tmRNA from 1 species
GGCGCCUCCACCAAAAUAUAACAAAAAUUAUAUUUUGGUGGGGGCGAAAUAGGAUCGACAAGGGUGUAAAGAUUGCUCUUUUACUCGGUAUGGUACCACCGUCAUCGGACCAAAUGAGUAGUUGCAAAUGACAACUAUGCGGAAGCACGUCUCGCUGCUUAAUGCAGUGUGAAUGUUUCAAACUAAGCCUUAAAUCGUCGCAGAUUUAAGCGGGGUUCGGAGGCACCUGG